UACGAAGGGUGCAAACGUUGCUCGGAAUUAUUGGGCGUAAAGCGCACGUAGGCGGCUUGGCAAGUCGGAUGUGAAAUCCCUCGGCUCAACCAAGGAAGUGCAUCCGAAACUGCUGAGCUUGAGUACGAAAGAGGAUCGCGGAAUUCCCGGUGUAGAGGUGAAAUUCGUAGAUAUCGGAAGGAACACCAGUGGCGAAGGCGGCGAUCUGGGUCGAUACUGACGCUGAGGUGCGAAAGCGUGGGGAGCAAACAGG
rnacentral:rRNA from 1 species